CCCGUGGCCCCACGUCGGCCCCCCACACCGGGGAUGUGGGUGGCACCGUGGGCCCGCUGCCCGGCCCUGUGCUUCAGCGUGACCGCCAUCGCCGGUCGGGUGGCUUCCCCUCUCUGACAACCGCCGUGAAUAAAAGGGAUGUGGUAGCGGAACGGCGUCUUGAAGGCGUGGAUCGUUUUGCCUCGCUGCGAGUUCUCCUGCCGGUUUGGACCUCUUUGUCUUAGCGGAUGAUGGGGAGCGAAGAUCCGUUCAAAUGGGACGCCGUUCUUCAGCGCAACUUUUGGCAGCAGGACAUGUGUGACCAGAACUGCAGCAGUCUUAAGGGUAUUGAAAAUGAAACGUUAAACACAACUAAAACUUGAAGUUAAUGGAUCUCUCUGUUUUUGUUUCUGUGAAAUUAACAGUGUGUAUUGAGUGUGUGAUGUUACUUGAUAAUAGCAUGCCUACCUGAGACAGUAAUACCAAGGACUCUGCAGUCCGGGAUUUCAUUAUGUGCCUUAAAACACGAUCUCUAUGUUUAAAGCUUGCGCAUUGCUGAAGCAUGGAAUAGGUUUGCUCAAAGGCAACUACAGUGUCGAACUGGCUGAGAGGCAACCAGCUGUCAUUCUGUUUUACCAAUAUAAAUCAGAUAGAUUAAUUGACUUUAUAUCAGCCAUUUUAUAAAAUAGUUCUAAAAUACUUGAAUUGGGUGGGAGAGAUUUUGCACUGGUAAGCUAUGUUAGGCACUUUUGUAGCUGACGGGAGUCCAUCGCUUUAUGAAGACAUUUAAUCUCCUUUACAUUAAAAAUCAUAUAAGCAAGCUGGGUAUUUUUUUUUUCCCCCUGUUUUGUUUUAGUUUAGUUCUGCAACAGAAAGUGCAAGGCAGAGGUGUGGCAUUUUUCUGUGUAAAAUGAAUAUUUUUUUCAGUUUCAUUUUAUGAAAUGCAUUGAAGUGGCAUUUUUAAUUAUCAUCCUUUUAAACAACUUUGUCCUAGUUAACUUUUCAUAAGUGUGUACAGUAGGUACUGAGAGUUAAGACAGUAUUGACAUGCAUUUGACUCAAUAGUCUGUCCAUCAGUAUUAAUAUCCAUUCAGUGCUGUAUUCAGUAUAUUCAUAAAAACCCUUGAAUUAGCGUGAUAUUUCCUAGCAUGGCAAAACAGAGUCCUUUACAGACUUAAGGAAAAUAUAUAGCAAAAUGUCUAGCAAGCUGUAUCUUGUUUUUUUUGUUUUGUUUUUAGUCACGGUUGUUGGAAGGAAUAAUUGUCUUUACUGACAUGGUAAUUCUGUAGAUGGUUAUUUUAUGCAAUUAGUUUUAAAAUAAUUUAAAUAAAAUUUUAUCAUUUUAUUCAUUUGAAGUUA